rnacentral:lncRNA from 1 species
GGUAGUAUGUUUAUGAAAUGUUAUACAUAAAAUAUUAAAAUGUGAAAUUGCAUCCAACUACUUAUAAUAUUUUUAGGUGGAUUCAGUGGAAGGAAGUGAAUAACAAAAUGGAAUUUAGAUAAAAAAUAGAUAUCCUCUAAACACUAAAGACUUGUUUACUCAAUUUGUAAAAGCAUGAAUUCAUAUAUGCGGAAAACCUCAAUUAUUCUAGUAACCAUGAAAAGAGAUAAAAACAACAUGCACCAUGACUUUCAUUUACAAAAAAA